rnacentral:rRNA from 1 species
AGAGUUUGAUUCUGGCUCAGAUUGAACGCUGGCGGCAGGCCUAACACAUGCAAGUCGAGCGGUAACAGGGAGUGCUUGCACUCUGCUGACGAGCGGCGGACGGGUGAGUAACGCGUAGGAAUUUACCCUAAAGUGGAGGACAACUCGGGGAAACUCGAGCUAAUACUGCAUAAGCUCUACGGAGUAAAGCUGGGGACCUUCGGGCCUGGCGCUUUAGGAUAAGCCUGCGUUGGAUUAGCUUGUUGGUGGGGUAAAGGCCUACCAAGGCGACGAUCCAUAGCUGGUUUGAGAGAAUGAUCAGCCACACUGGGACUGAGACACGGCCCAGACUCCUACGGGAGGCAGCAGUUAAGAAUCUUGCGCAAUGGGCGAAAGCCUGACGCAGCCACGCCGCGUGAGGGAUGAAGGCCUUCGGGUUGUAAACCUAACUAAGACGGGAAGAAUAAGCAGACACUCUCUGUGAUGACGGUACCGUCCUACAGCCCCGGCUAAUUACGUGCCAGCAGCCGCGGUAAUACGUAAGGGGCAAGCGUUGUUCGGAUUUAUUGGGCGUAAAGGGCUCGUAGGCUGGCUUUUAAGUUGGAUGUAUAAUAUUCAGGCUCAACCUGAAACCUGCAUUCAAAACUGAAAGCCUUGAGACUUGAAGGGGAGAGCGGAAUACCUGGUGUAGCGGUGGAAUGCGUAGAUAUCAGGUAGAACACCAGUGGCGAAGGCGGCUCUCUGGUCAAGUACUGACGCUGAUGAGCGAAAGCGUGGGGAGCGAACAGGAUUAGAUACCCUGGUAGUCCACGCCGUAAACGUUGUGCACUAGGUGUCGGAGGUUUCAACGCCUUCGGUGCCGCAGUUAACGCAUUAAGUGCACCGCCUGGGGAGUAUGCCCGCAAGGGUGAAACUCAAAGGAAUUGACGG